CGUUUAUGGGGUCGCACAGAGUCGGACAUGACUGAAGCGACUUAGCAGCAAGAAGGCUGGGGAAAAGGAAGAAAAAUGAUCAGAGGUGGGAACCCUACAUUGAGCCCUCUUAUAUGGCUGACACACAGAGAGUGAGAUUCCUGAAUGAUUGACAUCACCAUAUUCCAAACUGCAACCAAUUCAGGGAAAAAGAUUAAAACAAGUUGUCACAGAAUGUGUAACUUUAGCAAUAAUUGGAGAAGUGAGGUUCCUCUGAACCAAAUUCAGAGAAGGAAAAACUCAAAAUUAUAUUAACACUAUAUAACAAAACUGCUGUUUUCUAUAGUUUAUAUCUUUCCAGCUUCUUUUGGAGAGGAGGGAUGAAGAAGUUAUAAACCCAAAAUAUCAUACUGACAAACAUUUAAAAUAUGUCCCAGAACAACAAGUCACGCCCUAAAAAUCUGCAAAAUCUUAUUUUCUGAUGAGUAUCUAUUUCUACUUCAGUCAUUAAAGGAUAACACUGAGAAUAGGUGGUAAAGAAUAAAACAGAAUAAACCGAAAAUAAAGAGGCACGGUGAUGCUACACUGCAAGGAUUCAAACCCUAACUCUACCACACAUGAGCUCUGUAACUCUGGGCAAAUUACUUAACCUCUCUGGUUUCCUUAUCGUUGAAAGAAAUAUUGUAGUCACAGGCCUAUUUCAUAGGGUUCCUAACCAGAUAAAGGAGUUAUCAGUUGCAAAACACUUAAGACAGGUACAGAGCAAGUGCUAGAGAAAUAUUUAUUACAGGACUUGCCUGGAAGAAGCCCCUUGUUCCCUAGAGGUUCAGAAUCCACUUGCCCAGGCAGGGCAUGAGUUUGAGCCCUACUUCAGGAGGCUCCACGUGCUGCAGGGCGACUGAGCCCGCGUCCCACAGCCAGUGAGCUGGCACACCGGAGCCCUGUAGCCACAACUAGGGCCACGUGCCUGGAGCCUGUGCUCUGGAGCAAGAGAAGCUACCAUGAUGAGAAACGCAGGCACCACCGCUGGACAGCAGCCCCUCCACACCCCAACGAAAGAAAGCCCUCAAGCUCCAAUGAAGACACGAUGCAGCACCCCCAAAGUAAAACAUGUAAUUUCAUUUUAAAAGACUUUAAGAAAUAUUUAUGACAGUCAACAAAAAU
rnacentral:lncRNA from 1 species